AACGUAGGAGACAAACGUUAUCCGGAGUUACUGGGCGUAAAGGGCGUGUAGGUGGUUGCGUAAGUCUGGCGUGAAAUUUUUCGGCUUAACCGGGAAAGGUCGUCGGAUACUGCGUAGCUAGAGGACGGUAGAGGCGUGUGGAAUUCCGGGUGUAGUGGUGAAAUGCGUAGAGAUCCGGAGGAACACCAGUGGCGAAAGCGGCUUCCUGGACCAGCACCGACGUUCAGGCACGAAAGCGUGGGGAGCAAACAGG
rnacentral:rRNA from 1 species